GACUACCGGGGUAUCUAAUCCUGUUUGCUCCCCACGCUUUCGCGCCUCAGCGUCAGUUAUCGUCCAGAAAGCCGCCUUCGCCACUGGUGUUCCUCCAAAUAUCUACGCAUUUCACCGCUACACUUGGAAUUCCGCUUUCCUCUCCGACACUCGAGUUCCCCAGUUUUAAAUGCAGGUCCGAAGUUAAGCUUCGGGUUUUCACAUCUAACUUAGGGUACCGCCUACGCGCCCUUUACGCCCAGUAAUUCCGGACAACGCUUGCCACCUACGUAUUACCGCGGCUGCUGGCACGUAGUUAGCCGUGGCUUCCUCCUAUGGUACCGUCAUUAUCGUCCCAUAGGACAGGGGUUUACAAUCCGAAAACCUUCGUCCCCCACGCGGCGUUGCUGCGUCAGGGUUUCCCCCAUUGCGCAAUAUUCCCCACUGCAGCCACCCGUAGG
rnacentral:rRNA from 1 species